rnacentral:rRNA from 1 species
GAGGCAUGUGAGGGCUGUCGCUGACUUUUUAACGCAAAAGGUCGUGCACGCCCGGAGCGUGUCCUCUCGCAUAAAAUCCAUCUCACCCUUUUGUGCACCACCGCGUGGGCACCCUUUGGGAUCAAACCGAUCCAGGAGGGCGCUUGCGUUUUCACACAAACCCCCUUUUAGAAGUGUAGAAUGACCCCAUUUUUGCGAUAACACGCAAUCAAAUACAACUUUCAACAACGGAUCUCUUGGCUCUCGCAUCGAUGAAGAACGCAGCGAAAUGCGAUACGUAAUGUGAAUUGCAGAAUUCAGUGAAUCAUCGAAUCUUUGAACGCACCUUGCGCCCCUUGGUAUUCCGAGGGGCACACCCGUUUGAGUGUCGUGAAAAUCUCAACCUCCUCGGUUUCUUCUGGACGCCGAAGGAGGCUUGGACUUUGGAGGCCUUUGCUGGCGUCUCUCGCCAGCUCCUCUCAAAUGAAUUAGCGGGGUCCUCUUUGCCGAUCCUCGACGUGUGAUAAGAUGUUUCCAUGUCUUGGUUUCUGGCUCUGUCGCCUUUGGGACCCGCUUCUAACCGUCUCAAGUCGAGACAACGUUUGAGCGUGUCUCCCUUCUCGGGAAACACCCUCGAGCCCACGAACCCUUGACCUCAAAUCGGUGAGACUACCCGCUGAACUUAAGCAUAUCAAU